CGAAGUGACUGCACUAAGACGUGAGUUCGGAGUAGAAGAUGCGGGUAGGUCGGCUCGAGGACACUUGGGCCAAAAAGGCGAGGCCCAUGAAAAUCAGAGUCAACUCAAAUUCAAACGUUGAGCAUUAAAGUCGAAGAAUCAAAACGGACACAUUUAAGAAGGAAUAAUUGUACUUAAUUGUCCAUUUUAAUGUCGCUUAUCUAUGUAUAAAUAUAGAGGCCAAUGGCCAUGUAAAGUGGAUCUUCCUCUCAAGAGAGAAAUAUUAUAGCAAUUUUCGUAUCAAUUUAUAAGCUUUUUACAUAUUUAUUUUUGUCCCUCAAGAAUAAUCUUUCC
rnacentral:lncRNA from 1 species